UGUUCCGGGAUACGUAGUCAUAAAUCACACGCUCGUCUUUCUCGCAACAGUAUAAAACGCGCGCGCCCACGAACACGUAAUAUAUCAUGGGUAGGUAUAAUGCACGGUUCGAGUCCAGCGUUUAGUCGGGAAUUCGGUUAUCGUAGGGAACAACGGUUAUACAGGGUAUCGUUUUCGUUUGUUUUGAUUUACCACGAUUCGGAGAUUUUCCCGCACGGUUUUAACUAAACGUUCGAAUUAUUAUUUUUUUAUUAUUUUUUUUUUUUUCAAUUUUAUAAAACUGUUUAUUCGACAUAUUGGGGUUAGAAACAGUUUUUAAAACCGUCUUAAGACCAUUCCCAGAGUUUGAAAACCCUUUUCAUUAUGAUACGUUCCCGGUAAUUUACCGCCCGAUACCCAUAGACAAAUGAGUUUUGAUUUCUUGUCCAAGUUGUAUAGGAACAUUUUUUUUUCUUUUUUUUUUUAUUUAGUUCAAGUACACGAUGAAG